GGGCCCCCGCCUUAAAGCGGCCGCGGCCGGCAGGUCAGCCUCGUGGGCCCCACAGAGCCGCCUAGAGGACCCCCACUGGUGUGGGCCGCGCGAACCGCAGGGAGCUAGCGGGUGAACCUCCCUCACUCCUCCCAGGGACCUGCGUCCUCCCCGACCCUGCGCCGGCCAGCCCGCGGGGCCGCCCUGGAGCCUAGGGCACGUCUGCGAAGGUCACGGCCCGAGUGGCCUGGGCGCUCUGCCAGCCCCCACCCCUCCUAGAGGCCUGCCUCCCGAACGUGGUCUUCAUAUGGGCAGGGACCUGCACAUCCUUGGCAGGGAGGAGGUCCCAGGGAGGCUGCAGGGGCACCCAUAGCCAGAAAGCGCACGCAGACUCUCAGCGUGUGUUUGGUUGAUGCAGAAGCCAGAUGAGGGACGAAGAGAGAAACCUGGCUACGUGAGGUGAGGCAAGACGGCAGCUGGACACCAGAGAAACACCUCUUUGUGCACGGGACCCCAGCCUGAUCUCACCUCGGGGGCUGCUGCGGCAGGGGCAGCACCAGGCACCACGCCACCCAUCGGCAUGAACCCCACAUCCUGGAUCUUCAACGUUUUCUGCAGGAACAGAGAAAGGUAGUUUCAGGAGCUGGCCAUCACACCAAGACACGCUCAGGGACAUGCCUGGCAAGAUCCUUGCAUUCAUGGAGCACCCUUUGGACAAUUUACCAAAUUCCCAAAUACCCCAGGAAAGGGCCCCAGACCUCCCUACCCGGCCUGGGCCAUGAUACCUUCAGGAGCUCGUUGAGGUCUGAGAUCUCCAGCAGCGUGAGGCUGGCAAUGUCCUGGACCAGCUGCUGGAUCUUGGGGGGGUACUCCUUGGGGGUGUUAUCCAGGGGGGCACCAGCAAGGGCCUCCCCCCCUCGAUGGCUGCUGCAUCUCAUCAGGCGCACGGAGCAGACACGAGGUACCUGUUGCCUAACCCCCAUUCAAACAGAGUCAUCAGCCUGGCACAAGCAGGUGACACGGACCAGGCAGGUAGGUGCCAUGAGCUCAGAAGAUCUAGCUCCUUGGUCCUGACUCAGGUUCUCAGACUCCAGGGUCCACGUGGAUAAGAAAGGGAUUUCCCAGCUACUUUAUGUUCUUCAAAGGGCCUUAGAAACCCACGUAACUGUAAUGCAGACACGCUACCCACGACGUUGUUUCCGGCUUGGAUGAACUAUACCAACCCACAAAGGUAAGGCAAUUACUUGAAUGCAUUUUGCGGCACAAAGCCUUUCAGAACCUAGGGCCCCUGGCGGCAGAACGCCAGAUCCACUCAUGGAAGUCCUACCAUGUCACUGUGAUGCCGGAGAAACUGAAGCUCGGAAAUAAUCAGGGACCGGUCCAAGGUCAUCCUGGGCCACGCCGUAACUAUCGGCGGCCCCCGCGGUUAGGGGAUCGUCAGGAGGGGGCCCCGCGCCCACCACCCCCGUAGGGACCCACCGAGUCCGGGGUGGCCCCCCGCCCGCGGACGCCGCCCCGACCUGCACCCUCAGUGCCCGGCUGCCCGGCCCUCGGCGGCCUGCGGUACCUGGCGAGGCGGAGGGCGGCGGCUCGAAGCCUAAGACACGGCCCCCAUAGGAGGCUUGCGGCCGCCGGCAGCAUCGCUCCGCAAGCGAGAAGGUCACACGCGGCUCCCAGUAGGAGGGACGCUCUAGCUGCCCGGACCGCCGAGCAUACGCGCUGGGGGAGGACGCUCUAGCCGCCAAGACCGUCGAGCAUACGCUCUGGAGCAGGACGCUCUCACCUCGACUUGCCUCCUCUCGCUCCCAGAUUACCCCGAAGACGAUGGACGGGACACGCGCAGACAACUCUUUGGCGGCGGCCGGACAGCGGCUGGCCCGGGCUCUCCGCCCCGGGGGGUGAAUGAAGCCCAGAGAAGGCUGAGCCACGGCGUGGGUUCCGUCCGAGUCGGGGAGGCGGGCUGGAUCCCCGGGCAGUCCCACUAGGGACGACCGGCCGGGACUUGGCCCUGUUGGACGGCACAGUGAUGCCUGCACCGGAGCCCGGGCUCGUGAAGUUUGCGCUACCGCAGGGCGGGCUCGAGGGUCCCCAGUUCCCUUCCUGGGUAGCUUCGCCCCGGGGGUCCGGCUGUCCGUGGCCUGUGGUCACCUGGCGGCAGGAGCGCCCCUACCCUCUGGGCCGUCUUCUCCUCGGUUUCCUCCUGUACCUAAACGGCUGCCUUUCCGGCCAGCACGGGCGCACCUUUUGUCCUUCCGUCCUGGCCACCCUGGAAGCCAGGCCGCCGCCCUCCGCCUGGACCAGACCCGCAGGGAGCUCGGGACUCGGCUUACAGCGUCUGCUAAGGGUUGUGAUUGAGCCCGGAAGGGGUCAGACGGGGUCCUGGGUGAAGAGCAUUUGUAAGCCUGGGCUCUGCCUCCACCUGCCAGAAGCCUCUGCACCCCUGCCUUAGUCCAGCUCCUAAACAUCUGGCACAUGGGGUAUCCCAAGUCCUUCAGGUCCUGGGGCCUUUCCUCUUUAGAUGCAACAGAGAGCAUGCCCCCUCGCUGCUGUCCCAGACGCCACAGAUGAUUUCCUAAGAUCCCAGGCAGAACAGCCCUGACUUUAGAUCAGAGCCAGGAGACAGGGCUGCCCUCGGCCCAGCACCUCUGUGAUUCUGGCCAUUCCUUUGACGUGAGCUCUGUGCCUAUUAAACUAGUCCAUUCCUUCGCAGACAAGCUAAAAUGGCGGUCACCCAAGAGAUUUGUCCAAAGUCUGUGAAAUGUUCUGAAUCCUAAAUGCAAGAGGCUGCGAGUCUGCGUUGUCUUAAAUGUUUUCUUCUAGGCUACGACUCUCAACUGGCAUUCCAGACUCAGACUGGAGUCAGGGCAGCACAGGGCUGGGUGGAGAGAGGACAGCUCCUCAGUGCUCAGUCUCAGGGAGGAAAACAGCAGAUCUCAAGGCAGAGCAGCAUCUACCAGUUGAGACUCCUGUGGAGCUGGGCCUGGGGCGAGGGGCAGCUGGCCUGUGGGGAGGCACCUUAUACACCCCUGUCCACAGCUGGACCAGCUGCUCAGCACCUCUCUGUGCAGACACCCGAAUACUUGUUGAAAGACAUUUUAUUAUUACUGUUCCAUUCUGUCUACUCAGGGCACUGGAUGAGAUGACGGCUCAGAAGCAGAGAAGCUGGAGACAGGCCCCACCCUUCCUGUGAGGGCCAGAGCACCCCUGCUGACAGCCUGCAGGGGAGGACUCUGGGGAGCACUCACGCUAGUCACAGGCCACAGGCCCUAAGGUGUCCUGGGUGGGAACGGGAGGGCAUGAGCUGUGUGGGGCAGAGACCCCACUCCACCUGGCCCUCUCGGGACCCGACGUGCUGGGCUGGGGGCUUCCUCUCAGAGAAAGUCCUUCCCUACCACCCUCCCCACCGAGGCCCAGCCCUGGGGAGAGGAGCCAGACACCAACUCAAGAAGACAGGGACAAGGAUGGGGCCUGGGGGGGGACGAGAAGCCAGCAGGUGAGGACAAAGACGGAAAAGGGCCAGGGUGAAGGGUCACCCUGCCCGUGCAGAGCAGGGACACUACACGCAGAGGGGAGAGAGCGAGGCAGAAGGACGACGCUAGUUAGAGACGGAGGCGGUGGUUUUGGAGAACCGUAGUGUUACUCUGGAUGGGGAGCUCCCAGCCGGGGUCAGUCAAACGAGAUGAGCUGGGCUUCGCUGCCCUGUGGCGGCGGCCCCUGUGGCGGCGGCUGCUGGGCCACUGGGGGCUGCUGCUGGGGAGGGCCGCUAGAGGGCGCCAUCUGUGUGUGGGGGGGGACACAUGGCCCAUCAAUCUGUCCUCCCUCUCCAGGCCCCAGCCACCCCACCCUAUACCGGCUCCUCUCCAGAACACGCCACAUCCCAGCCUUGCCCUGGUACUCAGGCCCCUCGAGCCCACCCUCCCGACUCCCUGCACUCUUCCUGUCCCCAGCAGAGCCCAGACCCCAGGUGUUCCCGAUUCAUGUCUGUGGACCAGAGAUGAUGUGACCUUGGGCUUUUUAGUAAAUGCGUGGUUUGGCA